rnacentral:tRNA from 1 species
GUGGUUAGCUCAGUUGGGAGAGCAACGGCCUUACAAGCCGUAGGUCACAGGUUCGACCCCUGUACC